ensembl:lncRNA
CUAAAAUUGUCCUCCUGCAUCCCAGAGGAUCGUCUUGCACAAACCCUGAGGCGCCACUCCCACUGUGGGCAGCACUGCUUUACUCAGCAAACGUUCGCUGAGUCUCUUGUGCUCCAGUCUCUGUUCUCAGGCAGCUCACUGUCUGGAGGGAAUACAGGCAAGAGAACAGACCAUUACAACCGGAGUAAUGGGUGAGGUGAUAGAGGGAAGCAUAAACGGCUGUGGGAGCACUAGGAGGGACUUCACCCAGAGGAGGGAAUGCCUAAACAGUUGUUUAGAUGGAUGCACAGGUAAGUGGGUGGCUGGGUGGAUGAAUGAAUGGAUGAUGGAUGUACAGGUAAGUGGGUGGCUGGGUGGAUGAAUGAAUGGAUGAUGGAUGUACAGGUAAGUGGGUGGAUGGGUGGAUGAAUGAGUGGGUGAUGGAUGUACAGUUAGUAUGUGGAUGGGUGGAUGAAUGAAUGGAUGAAUAGGUAUAUAGGUGGGUGGAUGCAUUUGUGGGUAGAUAGGUGGAUGGAUGGCUAGGUUGGUAUGUGGGUGGAUAGGUGAGUAGAUGAAUGGGGGAAUUGGGGAAGGGUCAAUAAAUGGUUGUACGGGUGAGGAAACGUCACAGAAGGCAGUGGGGAAUGAGAGCAUAUUCCUGAUCAGGGCAGUCUUCCUUUACCUGGACUGUGAACACCUGAGGGCCGGGGACAAUACCUGAGUCAUCCCUUUAUUUCCACACCUAGCACAGGCCUGAUUCGUGGUAGGCCUUCAAUAAAUGUCGAGUAUGCGAAUCAACGAUAAUCAAGGAAUACCACGAAUUCAGAGUUCAGCCAAAUCUCUUCCCCUUUCUGGGCCUCAGUUUCUCUGUGUAAAUCAGAUAUGAAAACACCUGCCAUCAGAAUUUUUAAUGCUGUUGGUGCUGCAAAAGGGAGACUGUGCUUGGGAACCUGUUUUAGAAUUCGCCAUGUGACAGACCUCAGGCAACCAGCGUCUUCUACUUUGCCCACUGUCGCACUCCACAUCCGUGCCUCCGCGGCACUUUGUGUACAUUAUCUUACUCAACACUGGAUAGGUAUUGUUGUGAUUAUGCCCAUUUAACAGAUGAGGCUGUUGAGGCUCGGAGAGGCCAAGAAACUUUGAAGUCAGAUCAAUUGAGAUCGAAAUCCUGGCUCUGCCGUGUAAACUUGGGAAAGUUUACUUCACCUCUGGGAACCUCUCAAAGAUGAGGAGAUUAAACGAGAUAAAGCAUGGAAAGCGCCUGGCACACAGGAGGUCAUUGGUGGUGGUUCUCUUCGUUGCUCAAGCCGGGAAGUUAGAGUGAGAUUCUGUUCUUUCUAUCAACCAUGCUGAUGCCUUUACGUUAGUUAACAAAAAAGAUUACAGUUCUGCUUGGACUAUGGUGCUUCAACAUAUGUAAGGAAGAUUUCAACUGCACAUUUUGAAACUUGCAACGUUCAGAAUAACUAAAUAAUCAGUGAGCUGCUGUGGCCUCCCCGGGAAGAUAAUGUGCCAUUUCCUUCCCCCUCCUGCCUCCUAGUGGUGAAUGUGGGCACUGCAGGCUCAGCAUCCCCGCCCCCUCCCUCAACCUUCCAUCCAGGAGAGCCAGGCUCCCGGCUGCCUCCCAGGCCAUCUAGUGACUGUUGACUGCAGAGCAAGAAAGGAGGAGCGUGUGCCAAGCAAAUGAAUGAAGACGUCCUGCCUAGACCUCACGCCCUGCUCCAUCACUCACUGGCUGUGCGGCCUUGGGGGUAUCGUUCCCUGAAUGUUAGUUUCCACGUUGGUAAAAAUGGGUAAGACACCUACCUUGGAGAAUUUGGGGGGAUGAAUAUACUAACUGAGGCAAAACACCUAGCAAAGGGCGGAUGCUCCAUAAAAUAUAGUUCCUCUGCUAAUAAAAGGAAAAAUUAAAUAGCCCGACUAAAUUAUUACAGACUGGCUCACAGUUUCAUAGCAGAGUAAAGGGCCACGGGGCAGGUCAGUUUUGAGGGCAGGGGAAGAAGGUCAAAGGGCAUUGUUAGGACAAUCCAGGGCUGGGGCACAGCCGGGGAGUGUGGGUGCAGAGUCAAGAAGAGAUUCAAGAGCAUACCAAUGACCUUGAGAAGUGACCUCUGCUUGUGUUGUUAGGACACAGACAUGUGGAGGUCUCAGGCCACAGCAGAGGAGGGGACAUGAACAACAGCAAGUGUUCCAGGAAGGACUGUGGACCAGGCCAGUCAAGGAGUGCUCCCUGGAGGAAGGGAUAUUUAAAGCUGGGGUAGGUUCUGGAGAGUGAGGCGGGGAUCGAGGGGGUGUUCCAGAUCAGGGAGGGAAAGAAAGAGGAAGCACAAGCCAAGGUCCAAGGGCUUUGAGAAGGAGACCAGCUGGAGAGAAGGCAGGGCAGGAGGUCAGGCCAGACCACCCUGGGGCCAGGAGCUUCACCGGGACCCCCUGGAUGGGGAGGAGCCUGAGAAAAUGUUCCAACAGGGCCUGACAAGGGCAGAGGCUGAGCAGCUUAACUUAACAUCUCUGUGCAGAUUGGAUGGGAAGAAUGACUAGAUUUGGUUAAAUGCACGAAAAAUUCAAAGCCACAAUCCCUGAAGCCAGUAUGGGGUAGGAACAGCAAAGGGACACAGCUGUCUCCUGGCCCCGGCUCUUUUCAGCAGGCUCAGCGGCAGCUCCCCUCACUGAAAGGUGGCAAGGUGCAGUGCAGGGCCAGCCCUAGACCUGCUGAGCACCGCGACUGCCUGGGGACUGGGGCACCUUGAAAAACCAACUCCCCCACUCCAGCCCACAGCAGCUGAAGUAGGAUUUCUGGGGUUGGGCCCUGGAAUCAGAAUUGUUAGUAGCUCUGCAGGUGAUAGAGGUACUCCUCCAGGCUGAGGAUAAUCCGUGAGCAGGGAAAGAAUGGGGAUUUGGAGAAGGAUGGACGCAGAGCCAAUGCCAGGCCCAUUCCUUUUGGGCUGUGCUGCCCUGGGCAAGUCACUUCACCACUCUGAGUCCCAGGGUCCCACCUAUAAAACAGGCAUGAAAAACUCUCCCCAAAGAAUGUUGGAGGCUCCCAGCACUGGGCCAGGACAUGGCAGGUGCUUAGUGGAUGGAAGACUAAACCCAGGGGUGCCUGGGGCUCUGACUGCCCCUGCCUGCGCUCCACACACUCAGCCUGUGAGUUGAUAAUUAAGUCUCCCCAAGAAGAAGUGGCUAGAAAUGAUUUUGGAGGAAAUGAGGCCAGUCCCCAGGAAGGAAUGGCUGCAGCAGAUUAAUGUCAAGGUUUGCCCUGGGUUUUCCCUUGCCCAUCACGCCAUCCCAGCUGGCCCUGGAAGAAGUAGUGGGGGGCAGACAGGGCACGUCCUAGGGGCCUCAAUGUCCCUUCAGGGGCUCUUCCUCCCUCCGACCAGCCUCCAGGCGCCCUCAGCUGCCCCCUCCCCUUUCGUCUCAGGCAAGCCAGGGCUAGCUCCCAGGAGAGAGGCCAGCAUUCUGUGGUUUCGGAGCCCCCGGGGACCCCAAGGUCUCUGGGUGGUUGUAGGGUGAUCAUUUACGGUGGCUGAAUGGGGGCCUAGAGGUCAAGUGUGGAUCCUGCGGUCAAUGAGGAGGAAGGAACGACAGGAUUGGAUUGCUGGCUGGGUAUAAGGAGGGAUGAGGGCAUUGAAGGUGACGCCCUGGUUUUGGGCCUGGACAAGGGGUGAGCCAAGGAGGGAGUAGGAGAAAGGAGUGUGCCUGUUACUGUGGCAGGACACACAGGAAGAGCAGAUUUGGGGUGGGAGAAGAUCCUCAGCUUCCUAAUGGGGAGGAGAAUGUAUCAGAACUCCUUCCAGCCCCCUGGCUCAACAGAUUCAAAGUGGCUUAGACACACAGCGCGUUCUGUUUUCUGCGUUUGUUUUUCUUCUCCCAUGAAGCAGUCCAGGUGGUCUGGAACCUGGAGAUAGAUGACUGGAGCUGAGGAGAUCUGCACGAGCGUGGUCGGACCCCACGCCUCUUCACAGGACCCACGUUCACAAAAUGGGGGCGUUGGCAUGAUCUGAGGGUGGAGUUUUUAGCCUCUUGACGUCAAAAGGUUGCUUAUCAGACAUCUGCGCAGGCCCAGUUGAAGGAUUGGUAGUCUCAACCAGCCUGGAGUGGACAAGGG